rnacentral:rRNA from 1 species
UACAGAGGUCCCAAGCGUUGUUCGGAUUCACUGGGCGUAAAGGGUGCGUAGGCGGUCGGGUAAGUCUGACGUGAAAUCUCACAGCUUAACUGUGAAACUGCAUUGGAUACUAUCCGGCUAGAGGAAUGGAGGGGAGACUGGAAUACUCGGUGUAGCAGUGAAAUGCGUAGAUAUCAAGUGGAACACCAGUGGCGAAGGCGAGUCUCUGGACAUUUCCUGACGCUGAGGCACGAAAGCCAGGGGAGCAAACGGG